rnacentral:rRNA from 1 species
CGCGUAGGCGGCCUUCUUAGUCAGACGUGAAAUCCCCGGGCUUAACUCGGGAACUGCGUCUGAUACUGGAAGGCUCGAGUUCGGGAGAGGAAUGUGGAAUUCCAGGUGUAGCGGUGAAAUGCGUAGAUAUCUGGAGGAACACCGGUGGCGAAGGCGGCAUUCUGGACCGAAACUGACGCUGAGGCGCGAAAGCCAGGGGAGCAAACG